CCCUCUCUCUCUCCCUCUCCCUCUCUAGUUUCACAGCUAGCUAGCUCACACAAAUCGAGCCAUGGCUCCUCCCAGUCUUCUCUAAAACUUUCACUCCUUCCAAACACUAAUCCCCCCCCCCCCCGACUCUGACUUUCUCUCUCUAUGAACAAGCUCCGGAAUUUGGUCGCGUACCCCAAAAUCAACGAAGAUUUCUACAGCCGUACACUUUCCGGCAGCGUCAUCACUCUCGCCUCGUCCAUCGUUAUGCUUCUGCUCUUCUCCGAGAUCUGGUAGAGUCUUAUUGAAUCCAACCCCAGCUUCUCCACCUUUCUUUGCCUCGGCCUCCGAGCCCAACCUCAACAUCCUCCUCCUUUCUCCUCCUCCGACCUAUCCUUCGAUGUCGAUUGUAAUUUGCGAUUGAAGGAGGCUGUAAUCCGCCUCCACCUCUGCAUCCUUUCUUCGUCCUUUUUCUCUCAAGCUUUACCCUAAUCCUUUUGCUCGAUCUCAGCCUCUACGGCCCCAAACGAGGACGUUUUGGUUGAAGAAAGAAUCGCAAACAGUCCAGAGCCCACGAAGGAUUGAAAUCUGGUGGUUGGUUUGUGAAUGGGGAGCUGUUGGUUUCUCUCUUCCUCCCUUCUGCCCAAAAGUGUUGGACUGAAAGUGAGUAAGAGAGAAAGAUGAUUCAGUUUGGGUUUGUCUUGGACGACAUCCGAUUUGUCCUUUUUAUGGGUUUUGGUUUUGAUUUUGUUUUAUGUUUUAGUUGGUUUUGAACUACUUGGGGUUUUGAUUUUUUAGGGGUUUUCUUUAUGUUGGAGUGUGAGAUCUCAGUAAUUGAUUGGACUGCUUUGAGGAUUUUCGUUGGCUUAGUUAUGCUCAUACAGUACAUCUCUUCCUGCUGCUGAAAGAUAUAGAAAUGGUAAAGUGCAGAUAUGUUUAGUAUGGAAUUCAAGAAAUGAAACCUCCCCAAAUUCAGAGAAACUGUAA